rnacentral:ncRNA from 1 species
ACGGAUUUGGUCCUGGUCCUAAUUUUGAUUUAUUCAAAGACGAUACAUGCAAGCAAUUUGCACUACGGUGAAGACUAAAAAUUACCCUUUUAAUAAAAAUGGUAAAACCACAAAGUAUCAGACUAUUUGUUAAGUCAACGACGCUUAGAACUUCCACACCUGCAGUACCUAACAUUAUACAAUAGGUAAAAACCUGAUAUAACUAUUGAUAAAAGGAUUGGUCAAAUAUGUGCCAGCCACCGCGGUUAUACAUAUAAUUCUUAUCAAAAUAAACGGUAAAAUUGUGGUUAAUAGCUUAAUAAAAUUAAAAUAGAUGUUAACUUUAGCAGUAAUAAGCUCACAGAACACCUCUAACACUCCAAAACCAAUUUUAAUUUUUAAUUUGAACCCACUAAAGCUUAAAGAUAAACUGGGAUUAGAUACCCCACUAUAUAAGCUAUAAAAAAUAAACACCUGAGAACUACGAACACAGUUUAAAACUCAAAGGACUUGGCGGUUUUUUAGAUCUCCCUGGAGGAGCUUGCUAUCAAAUCGAUAACCCACGAAAACCUUACCAACUUUUGAAAAAACAACUUGUAUACCAUCGUCGUCAGUCUACCUCAUAAGAGAGUAUACCCAACAAACACCUCUUUACAACGUCAGAUCAAGGUGCAGUUUAUAAGCUGGAGAUACGUGAGCUACAAUACUCUACUAAAAAUCUUAAUUGUGGAUAACUUAAUGAAAAAAUUUUGAAAUAGGAUUCAGCAGUAAUAAUUAAAAUUUAUUAAUUAUGAAAAUAAGCUCUAAAAUGCG